GAUGAACGCUAGCGACAGGCUUAACACAUGCAAGUCGAGGGGUAGCAGGGGGUAGCAAUACUUUGCUGACGACCGACGCACGGGUGAGUAACACGUAUGCAACUUACCUAUCAGAGGGGGAUAACCCGGCGAAAGUCGGACUAAUACCGCAUAAAACAGGGGUCCCGCAUGGGAAUAUUUGUUAAAGAUUUAUUGCUGAUAGAUAGGCAUGCGUUCCAUUAGGCAGUUGGCGGGGUAACGGCCCACCAAACCGACGAUGGAUAGGGGUUCUGAGAGGAAGGUCCCCCACAUUGGUACUGAGACACGGACCAAACUCCUACGGGAGGCAGCAGUGAGGAAUAUUGGUCAGUGGGCGCGAGCCUGAACCAGCCAAGUCGCGUGAAGGAUGAAGGUUCUAUGGAUUGUAAACUUCUUUUAUUGGGGAAUAAAGUGCAGGACGUGUCCUGUUUUGUAUGUACCCAACGAAUAAGCAUCGGCUAACUCCGUGCCAGCAGCCGCCGUAA
rnacentral:rRNA from 1 species